GUCGACGGGCUCUUCGGAGCAAGUGGCGGACGGGUGAGUAACGCGUGAGAAUGUGCCUUGAGGAUGGGGAUAACAAUAGGAAACUAAUGCUAAGACCCAAUGUGCCUUAAGUGGUGAAAAAUGAAAAUUGCCUGAAGAGGAGCUCGCGUCUGAUUAGCUAGUUGGGGUGGUAAAAGCGCACCAAGGCGACGAUCAGUAGCUGGUCUGAGAGGAUGAGCAGCCACACUGGGACUGAGACACGGCCCAGACUCCUACGGGAGGCAGCAGUGGGGAAUUUUCCGCAAUGGGCGAAAGCCUGACGGAGCAAUACCGCGUGAGGGAGGAAGGCUCUUGGGUUGUAAACCUCAAAACUUAGGGAAGAAAAAAAUGACGGUACCUAAUAUAAGCAUCGGCUAACUCCGUG
rnacentral:rRNA from 1 species